rnacentral:tRNA from 1 species
AUAGUGCUAGUUAAGUGGUAUAAUGCUUGCUUAGCAUGCACGUGGUCCUGGGUUUGAGUCCCCAGUACUACC